AGGCUGCGGAAUAUUGUAAUUUGAAUUUAUGUAAACGAAUACUCCUAAAAGAAAAGACCUAUCGCAUCAGCUUGAAGAUGCAAACCAAGACCUGGAGGAGGAGAAUCCCACUCCAUAACACUGUCGACUUGUCUAGAACCCAGCUUAGCCAGAUGAUCUGCGCAUUGAUUACCCUCACGCAAAACAUGCUGAACCCGAACUUGCCAAGACCGAUGAAGCAGGAGAUGAAUAUCACCAAUGAGAGACCAAUAGGGAUGGAAACAGCUACAACCUUUCUCAAUUAAAAGAAA
rnacentral:misc_RNA from 1 species